rnacentral:ribozyme from 2 species
CAUCAGCAACGAACUCGCACUUCUACGCAGUGCUGAUGACUAGUAGCCUUCGGGUGAAGCUAAGACGAGU